CCAACGGCCCUCUUUAGGGCCACAUUGCUUUAGUCGAGUACUUGUUU
rfam:Oesophagostomum dentatum strain OD-Hann O_dentatum-1.0_Cont24986.1, whole genome shotgun sequence.